AUUGAACGCUGGCGGCAGGCUUAACACAUGCAAGUCGAGCGGAGAUGAGGUGCUUGCACCUUAUCUUAGCGGCGGACGGGUGAGUAAUGCUUAGGAAUCUGCCUAUUAGUGGGGGACAACAUUCCGAAAGGAAUGCUAAUACCGCAUACGCCCUACGCGGGAAAGCAGGGCAUCUUCGGACCUUGCGCUAAUAGAUGAGCCUCAGUCGGAUUAGCUAGUUGGUGGGGUAAAGGCCUACCAAGGCGACGAUCUGUAGCGGGUCUGAGAGGAUGAUCCGCCACACUGGGACUGAGACACGGCCCAGACUCCUACGGGAGGCAGCAGUGGGGAAUAUUGGACAAUGGGCGGAAGCCUGAUCCAGCCAUGCCGCGUGUGUGAAGAAGGCCUUUUGGUUGUAAAGCACUUUAAGCGAGGAGGAGGCUACCUGGAUUAAUACUCUAGGAUAGUGGACGUUACUCGCAGAAUAAGCACCGGCUAACUCUGUGCCAGCCGCCGCCGUAACAC
rnacentral:rRNA from 1 species